rnacentral:lncRNA from 1 species
AGAAAAUUGAUUUCUCUGCUAAGAUCAAACACCCAAAAAAAAAAAAAAGAAUGGAAUAUUGACUGUCAGUCAAAUAAACACUUUGCAAGUUUUCAGGUCAAAGAUAGAGUAGUAAACGAAAACUUUAGUUGAAAAUAGACCCAAAAAAUACCAAAUAGUCACAGUAUUUAUCUUACAACAUUAAUUCCAGGGUCGAUUUUGUUGAAAUGUGUUCAAAACAGUUCUUUUUUUUUUCUUGGUCGGUGUAGGCUGCCGAGUUUUUUUCUAUCAUCAGCCUGACAUUUCAUUUCUACAAGGUGGCAAAUUGUGGCACUUAGUUCACUAAGAUCAAUUGUACAGGAAAAGUGACGUGCACUCGAAUACAAUAUUUACAAUUUUUAAAUAUUUGGAUUUUUUUAUAAAAUAAAUAAAAAUAAAGAUGAAUUAAAAAAUUAAUAAUUGAAUUAAUUGAGCUAUUUUUA